UUGCUCUUUUAAAAGGUGUCCAGUGCGAGGUGCAGCUGGUGGAGUCUGGGGGAGACCUGGUGAAGCCUGGAGGGUCGCUGUGACUCUCCUGUGCAGACUCUGGAUUCACCUUCAGUAGUACUGGCAUGAGCUGGGUCUGCCAGACUCUAAGGAAGGAGCUGCAGUGGGUCACAAGUAUUAGCAGUGUUGGAAGUAACACAUUCUAUGCAGACUCUGUGAAGGGCCGAUUCACCAUCUCCAGAGACAAUGGCAAGAACAUGCUGUAUCUGCAGAUGAACAGCCUGAGAGCCGAGGACACAGCCGUGUAUUACUGUGCAACAGACACACACUGGGGGGAGACCUGG